UACGUAGGGAGCAAGCGUUGUCCGGAAUCAUUGGGCGUAAAGCGUACGUAGGCGGCCCGGUAAGUCCGUUGUAAAAGUCAAAGGCUCAACCUUUGAAAGCCGAUGGAUACUGCCGGGCUAGAGUCCGGAAGAGGCGAGUGGAAUUCCUGGUGUAGCGGUGGAAUGCGCAGAUAUCAGGAGGAACACCUAUAGCGAAGGCAGCUCGCUGGGACGGUACUGACGCUAAGGUACGAAAGCGUGGGGAGCAAACAGG
rnacentral:rRNA from 1 species